UACAGAGGUCUCAAGCGUUGUUCGGAUUCAUUGGGCGUAAAGGGUGUGUAGGUGGCGCCGUAAGUCGGGUGUGAAAUUUCGGAGCUUAACUCCGAAACUGCAUUCGAUACUGCGGUGCUUGAGACUGGAGAGGAGACUGGAAUUCAUGGUGUAGCAGUGAAAUGCGUAGAGAUCAUGAGGAAGACCAGUGGCGAAGGCGGGUCUCUGGACAGUUCCUGACACUGAGACACGAAGGCCAGGGGAGCAAACGGG
rnacentral:rRNA from 1 species